rnacentral:rRNA from 1 species
UACGGAGGGUGCAAGCGUUGUUCGGAAUCAUUGGGCGUAAAGCGCGUGUAGGCGGCUUGGCAAGUCGGUUGUGAAAGCCCGGGGCCCAACCCCGGAACUGCAUCUGAAACUGCCUGGCUAGAGUCCCGGAGAGGAAGGCAGAAUUCCCGGUGUAGGGGUGAAAUCCGUAGAUAUCGGGAGGAACACCUGUGGCGAAGGCGGCCCCCUGGUUGGAUACUGACGCUGAGACGCGAAAGCGUGGGGAGCAAACAGG